GACGAACGCUGGCGGCGUGCCUAAUACAUGCCAGUAGAACGCUGAAGGAGGAGCUUGCUUCUCUGGAUGAGUUGCGAACGGGUGAGUAACGCGUAGGUAACCUGCCUGGUAGCGGGGGAUAACUAUUGGAAACGAUAGCUAAUACCGCAUAAUAGCAGUUAUUGCAUGAUAACUGUUUGAAAGGUGCAAUUGCACCACUACCAGAUGGACCUGCGUUGUAUUAGCUAGUUGGUGGGGUAACGGCUCACCAAGGCGACGAUACAUAGCCGACCUGAGAGGGUGAUCGGCCACACUGGGACUGAGACACGGCCCAGACGGCUACGGGAGGCAGCAGUAGGGAAUCUUCGGCAAGGGACGGAAGUCUGACCGAGCAACGCCGCGUGAGGGAAGAAGGGUGUCGGAUCGUAAAGCUCGGUUGUAAGAGAAGAACGAGUGUGAGAGUGGAAAGUUCACACUGUGACGGUAUCUUACCAGAAAGGGACGGCUAACUACGUG
rnacentral:rRNA from 1 species